UACAGAGGGUGCAAGCGUUGUUCGGAAUCAUUGGGCGUAAAGGGCGUGUAGGCGGUUUGUUAAGUCAUGUGUGAAAUCCCUCGGCUCAACCGGGGAACGACGCAUGAAACUGGCAAGCUAGAGUACCAAAGAGGGGGGUGGAAUUCCAGGUGUAGCGGUGAAAUGCGUAGAUAUCUGGAGGAACACCGGUGGCGAAGGCGGCAUCCUGGACCGGCAUUGACGCUGAGGCGCGAAAGCUAGGGGAGCAAACGGGG
rnacentral:rRNA from 1 species